UCACCUGCCACAAAAAAGGCUUACUUAGGAAACAGGAAAAUGGAGGGUGGCCUGGAGAGGUCAGGUCCCUGUUCCCGGGACAGACCCCAGCAGCCCCCCAGCAGCUGCCAAAGGCAGGGGUUACAGAUCAUCUGAUUAGAACGAUCCCCAUCUGAGGACAGGGCAGGGUGGAAGGGAGGGGAUGCUGGCCCGCAUGCUGGGCUCCAGCAGCAGGUCGAGGAGGAGGAAGCUGGCGCCUCCAUCAUAAGGUAGGUUGGCUUAAAUGGAACCAGGAAUCAAACACUCAAGUCUGGGUAAACAGGGCCAAGACCCAUCAGUCUGUCUCUUCGGGUCACUACAAACACCCUUCCCGAGUGAAGGACAGUCUGGUCUUAACAGCCUCAAGCGGAGCGUGGAGCAGGAAUGGGCCUCAAAGAAGUCCAGCCAGACCCUCCCUGGCAGGAGAACCAGCCUCUGGGUGGGGGGCCCACAAGGGGGCCACGGGCCGUCACCCCACACCCUGAAGCUGGCUUGCGCUCGCUGCACCUUACAUCUACACUUUUCCUGCACUUUUUCAGAAGGCAUCAUGGGAGUCUCGCCCCUAGAGCUUUUGGUUCUCCCCAAAAUCUAAAAAUAUUAUUUCCUUCCAAACAUGAAAAGGCAAGGGAUAAAAAAUAUGCUCUUCAGCUCAGUAAUGAAAAUGGACAAAGAAGGAAAGCAAUGUUCACAAGAAGUGGGGUCGGGGGAGCUAAACACUCAUUGAUUCAGCAUCCCACUACCCUGGAUGAACUCGCCCAGAAGGAAAUCUUUUUAAAGUAGCUCAUAGGAGUUUUUAAAUAAAGUGUGUGGAGGACUCUUUCCUUGGCAGUCAGUGCUGUGACUCACACGUGGCCCUCGGAGCCACUGACUGCAAGACUGGGGCCCCUUAGCUAAAGGGCCCCAGGCUGCUGGGCUUGUUAGGUUCUUUGUUUGUAAUCGUUUUUCUGUCUCUUUGUUCCUAUCAGGUGUCACCACUCGCCCUCUGCACAACUUCUCAUGCUUCUGCUUCUAACUCACUGGGGGCAGGGAAACGGUGGGACCAAGCGUGGCCAACCACAUGUGAGAGAAAGAGUGAGUCAGCUCUCCCGGGAGGUACAUAGCUGCCUUCAAUCUCCUAAUUCUGGCAGCCUGAGCCCUGAGGCUGUUGAGAACCCUUUUGGUCCAGAGGCAGCUCCCUCCAGCUUGCGUAGGUGUAUGCAGGCAGGCAGUUCUGUGGAAGCCGCCAAGGAUAAGCUGGCAAGCAAUGUCUUUUCAGAAAAAUUCGAUUUUAAAAUGUCUCUCCCAUGUAACAAUACAGAGGCUAGAGAAACAUGGAUGAAUCAGCACAGAUCACCAUCUGACAGAAGAACACCUAUUAUCAGCUGUGUUUUCUUACUACACAGAAGUUAAUUGUUUAAACAUGAGACUCACAAAAUUCUCAAGAGUCUUUUAGUGAUGACUUUAAAUUUAGAGAAAAUCAAGUCACACUUCACUUGCGCAACAGCAGUCAGUCCUGAAUGUGAAACCAGGCUAAGCUGUACUACAAAGCCAAACGUGCAGAACAACUACAACAGAACACACAUUUGAAACAUUACCUGAUUUGGAUGUAAUAACAAGGACUCGAUCAUCCAGUGUUUUUAUCGUCUUCUUGAAGCCACACAGGGCUUCACAAAGCUGAAUUUUCAUUUUCAUGAUCAAGUCAUGGCCUCGUCUCUGAAAGACACUAUGAUCCUUCUGAUCAAGCACAAUUAUGACAUCACCAGGCUCCAGCUCAGGCUCCUGAUCUCCUUCUCCAUGAAACAGUAUCUUUUGCCCAUCUUUCAUACCUAUGAAACAUCAUCCCUUUCUGAUUAGCCAUUUCUCUUAAAAACCAUACUUUCAACAAAGCUUUUGAAGGAGGCACACAGAGCCCUUUGGGGCUUCUUUAUUCAUCAAACCUCCCCACUUUGUGCAGGCAUGGGGCUGGGAGUGCUGGCUGGGAUUAACACUGAGAGGCCUCAGCCAAGCAUGCAGCAGGGAGAGUGGGAAAAGAGGCCAUCACAUCACAAGUUCACCAGACACUCCUGCCUGCCCAGGCCCUGGAAAGUGACAGGUAAUGCUUCUCUGCAAGCACGAGGUCACCACCCACAACACGCACACAGUGCUCAACUCUGGGGAUCUUCUAAUAAGUCACUGUGUACACACGGGCACAGGGUUAUUAAGUCCUUCAACCUGUGUUAGUUUGGGUGUUGGAUUAUGUACUUUGGUCUCCUCUCUCAUGGCUAUAUUCAAUGGAUUAGAAAGUCACAGGAUAGGAGUUCCCUCUGUGGUACAGCAGUUAAGGAUCCCAAUUGCUGCAGCUACAGCAAAGGUCACAGCUGCACCUUGGACUUGAUCCCUGGCCCGGGAACUUCCAUAUACCAUGGGUACAGCUAUUAAAAAGAAAGAACAGAAAAGACAGAAAGUCAAAGAAUAAUCAGGGGAACAUGUCAGAGUGGAAAAAGACCUUAAAAUGAUAGCCCCAGGCAAAAUGAAUAGCAGGGGGACGACACUGGAUUUGAAAGACUGCUGCAACAGAGGGGGAAGUGUGGCGAAAAGGGACACAUAACUACGAAGACUUACUUAAGUUCUUAUCAGCCAAUGUGGGACAAAAGCCAUUAGGAGGAGCCCUCCAAAUGGUUCUAAAGGAAUGGUUUGAAAAUGGCACAAAAGGGGUUUAACCAAAAUCAAGGUCAAGUGACUUCCAGAGCAUUAGAAAACCUUAAAAAAAAAGGUUUUCUUUAUCUCAAAGAAGCAGACCUCUGCAUGAAAACCUUGGCUCGUGAUACGGAUGGAAAUAAAGGCGAGGGAAGAGGCCUUGGAAGGUGGAAGGAUUGAUGGCAGGCUCUAAUCUGUGAGCUCAUUUCCCUGAUCCCUGCAUGCCCCACGAUCAGCCCCUGAGCAGCAUUCCCACCAGCGGGGGGCUCCCGAGCUGUGCAGCCUCACCUUUCUCCACGUGCACCUCGAUGAUCUUCUUCUCCCGGAUGACCUUGGCACCACUGCAGUUUUCGCAGCGGUCCUUGGGGUUGAUGCGCUCGCCCUGGCCCUUGCACUCGAUGCACACGGUCUGGAUCUGCUGCACCAUGCCUGGCCCUAUCUGCUGGAUGUGAAUCUGCAUCCCUCGCCCCUUGCACACAGGGCACUUCUCCACAGAUCCCUUCUUCCCGCCAACGCCUGCGGGGAGAUAAGAACCAGGGUGUGCUCUUCCCUUUGAAGCACCUCUGCUGGGUGCCACCAUAGAAAGGUAAUGAGCCAUGACAUUGGACACUGGGGUUUUAAUUCUAUUUACAAUCAUGAAAAGCCAUGUGGAAGAGUCUGGAUGAUUCUAGCCCAGCAGACAAUAUCCAGACGUUAACAAGUGAUCACAAACAUUUGUGGUUUUGGCUGUGCCAAGACAAAUUCAUUGCUUUAGCUCCACCAACUAGUUUUCUUCCCCCAGGAUGGAAAAACACCCAUGCCUACACAUGACUGGUGGAGCUUGGAGAACACAGCGCUGUCCAUAAGGGUGGCUACCCAGCUCAGGCUACUUCUCUGUGGAACAAUAUGGGAUAAAGUCACCACAUCUGACUUUUCUUGAAAAAUCAGAUUUUAAAAAAUUACAUUAAUUACGUUUAAGUCAAGGAUCAGUAAACUAUGGCCAGCUGCCAGGUUUUGUAAAUAAAGCUUUACUGGAAGAUA